GCUUGUCUCAAAGAUUAAGCCAUGCAUGUCUAAGUAUAAGCCUUUAUAUGGUGAGACUGCGAAUGGCUCAUUAAAUCAGAAACUGUUUAUUUGAUAGUGCCUACUACAUGGAUACCUGUAGUAAUUCUAGAGCUAAUACAUGCUGUUUUGCCUGACUCUGUGGUAAGGCUGUGCUUAUUAGUACCAGAACCAACCCAAGUUCUGCUUGGUUGCAUCCUGAUUCAUAAUAAACGAAUGGAUUGCAUGCUUUGGCUGGCAAUGUAGCAUCUAAGUUUCUGACCUAUCAGCUUCCGACGGUAAGGUAUUGGCUUACCGUGGCAAUGACGGGUAACGGAGAAUUAGGGUUUGAUUCCGGAGAGGGAGCCUGAGAAACGGCUACCACAUCUAAGGAAGGCAGCAGG
rnacentral:rRNA from 1 species